ACCCUGUCUGGGCCCACUGCUGGGGAAAUGUCUCCAGUGCUGUUUGUGUGUCUUGACCCCAGGCAAUCCUUCCAUUCUUCCCUCGUUAAUCCAGUGAUUUGUGGAAUGCCAGUGACCCCUCAGCCAGUCUCCUGAGCUGCCAGGGCUGGGAGUGACACGGAAUUGUCAAUAAUAAUAUCUGGGGGAGUUCGUGGUGGAGCAAUUUUUUUUUUUAACAUUCAGGCAGGUGUCCUCCUCCACCCUCAGCUACUCCAAGGCAGGAUUCAUCCUCCAAAAAAAAAUAGAUGAAUCUUCUCUAACAGCUGGAAAGGAGCAGAGCUUGGGUGUCCUUAUUCUGCAACCCCUUCCUGCAGUACAAGGGCUGCAGAACAAACACUCUGGGAAAUAUUUGCUCUGUGUCCUGUAACAGGGUGCCCGUUGUUUACCUGCAGCAAACAUCCACCCCUGAGCUGGAUAAUAAAUUAGUCAAGGAAAGGCACAGUUUUAAUCUUCUGAAGUUUCAUAGAUAAUUAUUCUUGAUCGACUGGUUUGACAAGAACUGUCUUUUCCAGCCAGUGG